UUUGGGAAAUGAUGUUAAAAUACAGAGAUAUGAAAGGCACUUGCAAUGCUGAUCAUAUUUUAUUUGCACAUCAGUCUGAUCCAAAA